rnacentral:misc_RNA from 1 species
CGAGAUAUUGGCAGAGGAGAUCUCAGAGUAUGACGAAGAAGCUUUAGAAUUCCUCAAGGAUAUCAAGUGGUGCAGAGUCAAUGAUGCAAAGGGUUUUAAGCUUGAAUUCUUUUUUGAUACAAACCCCUUCUUCAAGAAUUCUGUAUUGACAAAGACCUAUCUCAUGGUUGAUGAUGAACUACCUGUAUUGGAUAAGGCAAUAGG